CAUGCACCAGUGGGGUCCCUUGGCCUGGCCUGUGGGAUCAGACCGAAACCGCUCUCUGACAUUCCCCAACGGGUCCUGGAUUGUGAGAGGGUGCAGGCCAGGCUGAGGGACCCCACUGGUGCACA
rnacentral:pre_miRNA from 1 species